AUUGAACGCUGGCGGCAGGCCUAACACAUGCAAGUCGAACGAGUGGCGGACGGGAGAGUAAUGUCUGGGAAACUGCCUGAUGGAGGGGGAUAACUACUGGAAACGGUAGCUAAUACCGCAUACCAUCAGAUGUGCCCAGAUGGGAUUAGCGAUUUGGUGGGGUAACUGCUCACCACGGCGACGAUCCCUAGCUGGUCUGAGAGGAUGACCAGCCACACUGGAACUGAGACACGGUCCAGACUCCUACGGGAGGCAGCAGUGGGGAAUAUUGCACAAUGGGGGCAAGCCUGAUGCAGCCAUGCCGCGUGAAUGAGGAAGGCCUUCGGGUUGUAAAGUACUUGCAGCGGGGAGGCGUUACCUGCAGAAGAAGCACCGGCUAACUCCGUGCCAGCAGCCGCGGUAAUAC
rnacentral:rRNA from 1 species